rnacentral:Y_RNA from 1 species
AGUUCAUCUGAUGGUUGUGGGUUAUUGUUAAACUGAUUAGCAUUGUCUCCCCGCAUACCCAUACUUGACUAAAUAUAU